rnacentral:rRNA from 1 species
GACGAACGCUGGCGGCGUGCCUAAUACAUGCAAGUUGAGCGCUGAAGGUUGGUCCUUGUACCAACUGGAUGAGCAGCGAACGGGUGAGUAACGCGUGGGGAAUCUGCCUUUGAGCGGGGGACAACAUUUGGAAACGAAUGCUAAUACCGCAUAAAAACUUUAAACACAAGUUUUAAGUUUGAAAGAUGCAAUUGCAUCACUCAAAGAUGAUCCCGCGUUGUAUUAGCUAGUUGGUGGGGUAAAGGCUCACCAAGGCGAGGAUAAACACCCGCCCUGAGAGGUGAACGGCCAAAAUGGGACCUGGACCACGCCCAACACCCUAAGGGAGGGCACAGUAGGGAAACUUUGGCCAUUGACGAAAGUCUUACCGAACAAAGCCGGGGUAGGGGAGAAGGUUUUCGGAUCGGAAAACUCGGUUGGUAGAGAAAAACGUUGGUGGGAGUGGAAAGCUCAUCAAGUGACGGUAACUACCCAGAAAGGGACGGCUAACUACGUG